rnacentral:tRNA from 1 species
GGGGGUGUGGCUUAGUGGUAGAGUGCUCUCCACCUAGCAUGUGUGAGGUACUGGGUUCAAUCCUCAGCACCACAU